rnacentral:misc_RNA from 1 species
GAUGAAGAACGCAGCGAAAUGCGAUAAGUAGUGUGAAUUGCAGAAUUCAGUGAAUCAUCGAAUCUUUGAACGCACAUUGCGGCCAUAGGUAUUCCUUUGGCCAUGCCUGUUCGAGCGUCAUUUACACCCUCAAGCCUAGCUUGGUGUUGGGCGUCUGUCCCGCCGUUUUCGCGCGCGGACUCGCCUCAAAGUCAUUGGCGGCGGUCGUGCCGGCCCCCUCGCGCAGCACAUUUGCGCUUCUCGGAGGCCCGGCGGAUCCGCGCUCCAGCAAGACCUUUCACGACUUGACCUCGGAUCAGGUAGGGAUACCCGCUGAACUUAAGCAUAUCAAUAAGCGGGAGGA